GCAGUAAUGGUUCAGUGGUAGAAUUCUUGCCUUCCAUACGGAGGUCCAGGUUUGAUUCCUGGCCAAUGCA
rnacentral:tRNA from 1 species